CCCGAGUGACAGAGAGAGGCUCUGACUAUGCAUAUAUUUUAUAUUUUCAUCUGGUAUAAAGCUAUUGAGGGAGAGUGAUGAGGAAGGACUAUAAGCCAAGUUGAGGGCCAAGCUGAACUCUCAACCAAGGCAGGCAAGUGAGAACAGUAAAACAACAGAUAAAAAAGAAAAGAACAUUUAAAAAAAAGCAGUUCACAAACAGCAAAUAAAUACACAACAGAUUCUCAACCUCACCAGAGGCCAGUGAAAUGCCAAUCAGAGCACCAAAGGGAUGCGUGCAGUCCAUUGGGAAGAAGGAAAUCAGUCGGCUGUGGGUGUGUGGGGAGGCGUAGCUUUUAUAUUGCUGGCAGAAAUGCUGAAAGCACAUGGAUAUAUAUGGUGUGGUAUCAUAUGCAUGUAAUAUUAGCAAUAGGAAAGUGGGGUAGAGGGCCAAGAGCAUGAGGAAGGGGCUAGAGGAGAGAAAACAAGAAGGGAAGAGCAAGAGAGAGAGGAGGGGGCAAACAGGCUCCUUUCAUAGUGAGUCAGACACACCUAGCUGUUGCCAGGUAACUGUGGGGCAGAGCCUAGACAAAAGGCUAACAAGUAUAGACAGACCAGACACAAAGGUCGCAGAAGGCAUUUUGGGAAUUGAUGUGGCAAUAGCUGAUGAAAGUUUUUUGGCAAACUUUCAGAUAUCUUAUAGACCAUUUAUUAGAAAACUAUAGGGAUGGGCUGGUGAGAUGGCUCAGUGGGUAAGAGCACCCGACUGCUCUUCCGAAG
rnacentral:lncRNA from 1 species